GAAUAUAUAAACAGAUGUGUAUGACAAAACGGAAGCAGGGCGUGUUCCACUGGAGGGUCCACAACUUUAAGGAAGACAGAGGAAUGAGUGACUGCUUCUGCCUGGAGAGUCAGUUACCUUGGAAAUAGGAGAAAAUGGGUUUGUCCUUGAAAGAUGAUAUUAGAGCGGAACUGUUCUUUCCUGCCCAGAUGUUUCCUUCUGUGUGGAAAGAGCCUAAUUAUUGUAACACGCUGACCUCUGUCCCCCUUUCCUCUCUCCGCACUAGGAUUUAUGAAAUUACCGCACUGAUGGUUAAUGAAGAAUGUCACUGUUGACUGUGCACCUCCCUUUUUUUCUCUGGGGUGUGAGCUUGCCUGCAGGGAGGCAGUUCUGCUCUGCUGGUUUAGGCUUUGUCUUACCUGGGCAGGUGGCUCUAGUCCAGAGGCCUGCCCCAGUUGGUCAUGACCCAUGACUGGAUGGAUAGGUCUGUGAAACUCUGAAAUUAGUUGGCAGUCCCAGUUGACCUGUAAUCACUUUUCUACCUUAUUCUGUGUUAGAACCUUCCAGGCAGUCAUUGAAAUUCCUUGUCACCUUGCAUAGAAAUGGCACAGUGUCCUGGUGCUGGGCUGAGCUGCAUUUUCCAGCCUCCUUUGCUGUUGGACGUGUGCUGCCUGGUGAGGAAGUCACAGCCAUGGGACAUGAGAAGUGACACCAAGGCUUCUGAGCAUAUGUGUGACCUUCCUCUUCACUCUUUUCCCUACAGUGGCUGGAUGCAGAUGAAGAUGAAGCCUUGGGGAUGGCUGUGCUGUGAGUUGAAACGAUCCUGGGCUCUGAGUCAUUGUGUGGAGCAGUCCUACACGCCAACAAAACCACGUGCCUUGGACUGCAAUUUUUAA
ensembl:lncRNA